rnacentral:lncRNA from 1 species
UACAACUAAAAUUAAGAAUCUCCACUCCAACAUUGAUUCUCUGAAACUGAAGCUGACAAAAGAUGAUUUGAAAGAAAUUACCGAUGCGGUUCCCAUCAACGAAGUAGUAGGGUCGAGAAGUCAAAAUGAGGCUUUUCAUAAGAUCACAUGGGAAUUUGUGAACACACCACUCCCAGAAUGAACCAGCAGAUAAUUAUUAGCGUGUGAUGUUUUGAAAAAAUUGAAGUUUUAGUCGUGUCGAUAUUUCAUGUGGUCUUGUCAGCGUACUUUUACUAGUUAUCCAACUUUCACUAGUUUGUGUGUAUCUAGAUCAAAAGUAAUAUAUCGCAUGGCUAUUGAAUAAUUGAACAUCUUUUUGUUUUUUAUUCUCUUUGAUAAACAUCCUAUAUAAGAUCACACGGGAAUUAGUGAACACUCCACUCCUAGAAUGAGCUAGCAAAAUGUUUCGAUAUUUGAUGUAAUUUUGUCCGCAUAUUUUUGCUAGUUAUCCAACUUUCAGUGGCUUGUGUGGAUGUAAAUCAAAAGUACUCCACUCCUAUGAUGAACAAGCAAAUUGGAUAAUUAUUAGUAUGUGAUGUUUUGAAAAAAUUGGAGUUUUAAUUGUGUCGAUAUUUGAUGUAGUUUGUUUUGCAUACUUUUACCAGUUAUCCAACCUUUACUAGUUUGUGUGGAUGUAGAGCAAAAAUAAUAUAUCGUAUGGCUAUUGAAUAAUUGAACCUGUUUUUGUUUUUUUGUUUAUUUUAUUUUAUUUUUCUUUGAUAACCAUCCUACAUAAGAUCACAUGAGAAUUUGUGAAUACUCCACUUCUAGAAUGAACCAGCAAAAUGGAUAAUUAUUAGCGGGGUGUUUUGAAAAAAUUGAGGUUUUAGUGGGGUCGAUAUUUGAUGUAGUUUUGUUUGCAACUUUUAUUAGUUAUCCAACUUUCACUAGCUUUUGUGGAUGUAGAUCGGAAG